GGGUUCCUGGCAUGCUGAUUUGUGACUUAAGAUAAAAUCACAUUGCCAGGGAUUACCAC
rnacentral:pre_miRNA from 1 species